GCCGAAAGGGAAGAAGGUUAAAAUUCCUUCACCUGGACGUGGAUAACGAGUGGUAACACAAGCAAAACUGGAGACGUCGGCUGGAGUCCCGGGAAGAGUUCUCUUUUCUUGUUAACAGUUCCGCAGGCCCUGGAAUCGGAUUAUCCGGCGAUAGGGUCUGGUGGCUGGGAAAGCAGCUUAAUCUUUGAGCUGUCCGGUGCUCUCCAGACGGCCC
rnacentral:rRNA from 15 species